rnacentral:sRNA from 1 species
AAUUCUAUUCUGAUGCUACCAUGGCCUUCGUGAAGUAGAGGGCUUCAUUUCAACCGAACGUUUACGUCGUUCCAAUCGGGGCAGAGUUCUUGGCUGUAGGAUGGUUGUGCUUGGAGAAAAACCAGAAAAUCUUAAUUUUUGCGAUGAUCGUAUAACGUAAUUGUUAUACGGGAGCAGAUGAAGGAUUGUCGCGUGACCCUGUGCAAAGGAAGGAAGAGAUGGAAGAACAAAUUAGAAGGAUUCAAUGUUAUCUUUGCAGAUAACUCUCAGCUUAAAAUUCAUGUUUAGAUUUAAGUUUGAGGUUUUGGGGUGUUACCGUAAUUGUAUUAUUACAAUAUUUAAAUUUUGAAAUUUUAAAGGAG